rnacentral:rRNA from 1 species
GACGAACGCUGGCGGCGUGCCUAAUACAUGCAAGUAGAACGCUGAAGAGAGGAGCUUACUCUUCUUGGAUGAGUUGCGAACGGGUGAGUAACGCGUAGGUAACCUGCCUUGUAGCGGGGGAUAACUAUUGGAAACGAUAGCUAAUACCGCAUAACAAUGGAUGACACAUGUCAUUUAUUUGAAAGGGGCAAUUGCUCCACUACAAGAUGGACCUGCGUUGUAUUAGCUAGUAGGUGAGGUAAUGGCUCACCUAGGCGACGAUACAUAGCCGACCUGAGAGGGUGAUCGGCCACACUGGGACUGAGACACGGCCCAGACUCCUACGGGAGGCAGCAGUAGGGAAUCUUCGGCAAUGGGGGCAACCCUGACCGAGCAACGCCGCGUGAGUGAAGAAGGUUUUCGGAUCGUAAAGCUCUGUUGUAAGUCAAGAACGGGUGUGAGAGUGGAACGUUCACACUGUGACGGUAGCUUACCAGAAAGGGACGGCUAACUACGUG